rnacentral:lncRNA from 1 species
CAGGGAUGAUUCACUUCUGUGUUCUCUUGUGAUGUCAAAAUUUUGCAAUAGGGCGAAGCUAAAUUGACAAUGGAUUUCCCCACUCCCAAGUGUUACCACUGAAGAUGUGUCUGUGGCUAUUUAUAGAAUGAGACAGAGCCUACAUUAGGAGCCACUGCUCAGAACCAGGGCAACAGAGGAGCAGAGGAUGGAUUCGUGGGGAGCCUCCAGCCACAUAAGCACAGCUCAGCAUGGGAAGCUGUCCUUCCUGGGGACCACAGUCAGAGAGGAGAACACUGAAAAUCUCUCCGGUUGACAACCUUGAUAAAACUGCUCUCUCUGGGGUCUGUAGGGUUGUGUGAUCUCUGCUCACCUUGAUCACAAUGUGUAAGAAAGAAACUGAGGCAUUUAUAACUUGGAAAUUUCAGUGAUCACCUAGAAAGUUCACUCAUCUAUUCAUUCCACUAAUGUUUGCUAGGUGCUUCCUGUCUGCCAGGGACUAUGCGUAGGACCUCACAUGCUUUAGGGUACUUAGUGUACUUGGCAUCUCACAGCAAUUGAACUUCCUAACUCCAUAGGAUGUAGGGAUGGGGUGGAUAUGAAGGAGGUGGUGACUGUUGUGGCUUUCAUUCCAUCAUUCAUCCCUCCAACAGACUCGGCCAGGAAUGGGACACAGGGAGUAAUGAGGUAUGUAGAGUCAACCCCUGAGAGCCCUGGCCCAUAAAUAGAAGUGACAAUACAACACAGUACUAAUAGCAAUUAACCAGUCUACUUCAGCCUAGUGUGGUAAGCACCCUGAUGGGAGGGGCUGAGGAGAUGGUUGUGCUUUGGUGCCUCCAGUGAGCUACACCCUCCAGUAUUCAUCUCCAGCCGUCUCCUCCCCUGAUGGCUCUGUGCCUGGCUACACUCCAGCUUGCACCAAUGAGACAUCAGUGAGAAUGACGCAAGGUUACACACCCAGGCUCGCCCUUUCAGAAUAGUUUUUCUCAGAACCUUCCUAUGGUGCCCUGAGGAAAUCAGUCAGCCAUGUGGAAAAGCCCAUAUGGAAAAAAAUUGCCCUUGGCCAUUAGCUUCAGUUAACCUAAGAGCUGGUGGCCAGCACCAACUGCUCCCUCUGUGGGGUGGGAUCAUUAGAACCUUCUACCCUAAAGCCCUAGCCAACCCCAUGGGAAGAGGAACUCCCUGACUCAACAAUCCACAGGUCCAUUCAAUAAUGAAUUGUUG